rnacentral:rRNA from 1 species
UACAGAGGUCUCAAGCGUUGUUCGGAUUCAUUGGGCGUAAAGGGUGCGUAGGCGGCGAGGCAAGUCUGGUGUGAAAUCCCCAGGCUCAACUUGGGAACUGCAUCCGAUACUGGAUGGCUUGAAUUCGGGAGAGGGAUGCAGAAUUCCAGGUGUAGCGGUGAAAUGCGUAGAUAUCUGGAGGAAUACCGGUGGCGAAGGCGGCAUCCUGGACCGACAUUGACGCUGAGGAGCGAAAGCUAGGGGAGCAAACGGG